GGUUUGUGGCUCAGUGGUAGAGUGCUUGCCUAGGACACGUGGGCACUGGGUUCUAUCCUCAGAACCA
rnacentral:tRNA from 1 species